GCCUUCGUGGUGUAGUGGUCAGCACACUCGGCGCGUAACCGAGAGGUCCGUGGUUCGAUUCCCGGCGAAGGUG
rnacentral:tRNA from 1 species